rnacentral:lncRNA from 1 species
CUCUGACCUAGAAAGAAACUGAUUCCAGCUCUCAACUAUUUGAGAUUCUCCAAUAUGGCUCCUAGUGACUUGAAGCUUGGCCACCCCUGCUAUAUAAUCUUGUGUUUGGCACAACAUGGCCCAGGUGGUCUUUGCACCACAACCUCUACCAAACAAACAAGCUCAGACUGUGUGUUGCUUGAUGAUUUUGAUCACUCAAUCUUAUUGAAUAUAUCAAAGUUCAUUUACUGGAUUGAGAAAAGCAAUCUGCUUCAUCUUCUUAAAUAUAAUAGAUGUCCAUUUUCCUUCAGAUUUUUGUAUUUUUUUUUUAUAUUCCAGUUUUAUG